GAUGAACGCUGGCGGCGUGCCUAAUACAUGCAAGUCGAGCGAAUGGAUUAAGAGCUUGCUCUUAUGAAGUUAGCGGCGGACGGGUGAGUAACACGUGGGUAACCUGCCCAUAAGACUGGGAUAACUCCGGGAAACCGGGGCUAAUACCGGAUAACAUUUUGAACCGCAUGGUUCGAAAUUGAAAGGCGGCUGCGGCUGUCACUUAUGGAUGGACCCGCGUCGCAUUAGCUAGUUGGUGAGGUAACGGCUCACCAAGGCAACGAUGCGUAGCCGACCUGAGAGGGUGAUCGGCCACACUGGGACUGAGACACGGCCCAGACUCCGACGGGAGGCAGCAGUAGGGAAUCUUCCGCAAUGGACGAAAGUCUGACGGAGCAACGCCGCGUGAGUGAUGAGGGCUUUCGGGUCGUAAAACUCUGUUGUUAGGGAAGAACAAGUGCUAGUUGAAUAAGCUGGCACCUUGACGGUACCUAACCAGAAAGCCACGGCUAACUACGUGCCAGCCGCCGCCGUAA
rnacentral:rRNA from 1 species